rnacentral:rRNA from 1 species
AGUGAACGCUGGCGGCGUGCCUAAUACAUGCAAGUCGAACGAAGUGGCGCACGGGUGUGUAAUAUAUAGUUAAUCUGCCCUACACAGAGGAACAACAGUUGGAAACGACUGCUAAUACCUCAUAGUGUAGGAUGAGACUUUAUCGUAUCAGCUAGUUGGUAAGGUAAUGGCUUACCAAGGCUAUGACGCGUAACUGGUCUGAGAGGAUGAUCAGUCACAUUGGAACGGAGACACGGUCCAAAGUCCGACGAGAUGCAGCAGUAAGGCAUAAUACGCAAUGGGGGGAAGCGUGGCGGAGCAACGCCGCGUGGAGGAUGACACUUUUCGGGGCGUAAACUCCUGUUAUCAGGAAAUCGUUACCUUUUGAAUAAGCACCGGCUAACUCCGUGCCAGCAGCCGCGGUAAUAC